AGCUUUGCGCAGUGGCAGUAUCGUAGCCAAUGAGGUUUAUCCGAGGCGCGAUUAUUGCUAAUUGAAAUGCCCACCCCAGGAGAUGGCACACAGAUGCUUGGUCCUGGUAUCCUCAGGAGAUUCAUGGCUGAG
rnacentral:snRNA from 1 species